UACAGAGGUCUCAAGCGUUGUUCGGAUUCAUUGGGCGUAAAGGGUGCGUAGGCGGCGCGGUAAGUCGGGUGUGAAAUUUCGAGGCUUAACUUCGAAACUGCAUUCGAUACUGCCGUGCUUGAGGACUGGAGAGGAGACUGGAAUUUACGGUGUAGCGGUGAAAUGCGUAGAUAUCGUAAGGAAGACCAGUGGCGAAGGCGGGUCCCUGGACAGUUCCUGACGCUGAGGCACGAAGGCCAGGGGAGCAAACGGG
rnacentral:rRNA from 1 species